GAACUCCUCUUGGUGGCCGGCCUUGUGAGUAGAGAGAGAGAUUGUGUUUUCUCAAUUUUUGGUGAAAGUUAACUCACAAAACCCUAAUGAAACUUUUCACUAUAAAGUUCCUUUUAUAACACAAAGAAACAAGUCAACAACUUGACUUUCUUUCUCUCCCUUUCCCUUUAUUUGGCUGGCCCCUUUAGUGUUGUUUGGGCUUUGGGCUUUUAUCAUUUCAAGUCAUCCUAUGCUUAAAUAAAAGCCCAAUGGGUUUGGGCUUAAUGGGCCCAUAUUAACCCGAACUUUUCUUUAAGUCCAAAACGAUCUUUUAUCGCUUUUAUGAUUUCUUUAGACUUUCUAAUUAAUCACAACACUUAAUUAAUCCAAUUAAUUAUUUCCAUCAUCCAAUAGUUGUCACACUACAAGAGUGUAUCGGUGUACAAUCAUUUUAGGUUCUAAUUAGCAAGGUAGUGAGGUGAUUGGCACCAAUCCAAUUGAUUAUGUUUAAUCCAAUCACUUAGUGAAUUAAAACUUACUUUUAAUUCUCCUUCUUCUUUGACGACUACUUAUUUUAAUCAUCUAGAAGAAUUCACAAGCCAUGAGUGACAUCUAACCAUAUAUCAUGGCUACCCAAGCUAAUGUAGAAUUUGUUCGGAGAACCUAUUCAGUUGGAAAUACAAUGUAAUUCGAUCCUUCUCUAAUACAAUACUCUCAAUCACAUUAUUAGGGUAUGGAUAUAUUAUGUCAAACCCCUAAUGUGAUUAUUCCA
rnacentral:lncRNA from 1 species